UGUGGAUAAUUUCAGGUUGGGCCUGCCCACUGAGUGGUUGAAUGGCCGCGGUACACUGACCGUGCAAAGGUAGCAUAAUCACUAGUUCUUUAAUUGGGAGCUUGAAUGAAAGGUUUAAUGAAAAAAUAGCUGUCUCUUAAAAAGUUUAAUAAAAUUUUAUUUUUAAGUAAAAAAGCUUAAAUUUUUAUAGAAGACGAGAAGACCCUGUAGAGUUUAAUAAUUAAAUACAUAUAAAAUUUAUGGAAAUGAGUUGUUUUAUACGUAUAUAUUUAUUUUGUUGGGGUGAUUGAAAAAUUUAUUAAACUUUUUUUUUAUUAAAAUAUUAUUUUGUAAAUUUAUGAUCCUGAGAUUAAGAUUAAAAGAUUAAAUUACCUCAGGGAUAACAGCGUAAUUUUUUUUAGAGUUCUUAUUGAAAAAUUAGUUUGCGACCUCGAUGUUGGAUUAAAGUUAAAUUGCUGGUGUAGAAGCUAACAAAUUGGGUCUGUUCGACCUUUAAAACUUUACAUGAUCUGAGUUUARACCGGCGUAAGCCAGGU
rnacentral:rRNA from 1 species